ACAGCUAAUCUUUUAAUUACAUCAUGUCCACUACGCUAUUACAAACAUACAUUCAUGCAUAUCUUUCUUUACUCUUGCUGACUCUGACUUCCCAUAGCUAUCUCGGAACCUGCAAAACUGGGGUUAAGGGAGUGGGAUGAGCUCUAUAGCCCAGUGAGGAGGAACAAUAAAACAAUUCAUUAAUUACAUGUUUUCAUGAAAUGCAUCACAUCACAAACAUAUCAUCUCACGGAUGAACUUGUCACCAAUAGCCCUCUACUAUAUGUCAUAAUAUGUCCUGAUGUGCCAAGGAGACUAGGUCAUCACCUGGACUUCUCUUAUCUGUCUCAUAUCAUAAC
rnacentral:lncRNA from 1 species